GAUUUCUGGGUGACUGUGCUAGCCCGCUCCUUUCCGGGAGUGUGUGCCGGUAUACGUCAUUCAUCCUUCUAGAAAGCCUUGCCUGCCGUUCAUUCGGCUGGGCAUGUGCGGUCUAGAUCUUUUACUUUGAAUAAAUUAGAGUGUUUAAAGCAGGCUUACGCUAUGAAUACAUUAGCAUGGAAUAAUAAUUUAGGACUUCGGUUCUAUUUUGUUGGUUUCUAGGACUGAAGUAAUGAUUGAUAGGGAUAGUUGGGGGUGCUAGUAUUCAACGGCCAGAGGUGAAAUUCUUGGAUUCGUUGAAGACUAACUAAUGCGAAAGCAUU
rnacentral:rRNA from 1 species